rnacentral:rRNA from 1 species
GACGAACGCUGGCGGCGUGCUUAACACAUGCAAGUCGAACGGAAAGGCCCUUCGUGGUCCUCGAUUGGCGAACGGGUGAGUAACACGUGGGUGAUCUGCCCUCCACUUUGGGAUAAGCCUGUGAAACUGGGGCUAAUACCGAUUAGGCCCGCGCUCUUCAUGGUGUGUGUUGGCCAGCUUUUGCGGUGUGGGAUGGGCCGGCGGCCGCUCAGCUUGUCGGUGGGGUAAUGGCCUACCAAGGCGACGACCGGUAGCCGGCCUGAGAGGGUGAGCGGCUAAACCGGGCUGGAGAUAAGGCACAGCCUCGUACGGGAGGCAGGAGUGGGGAAUGUUGCACAGUGGGCGCGAGGCUGGUGCAGCGACGCCGCGUGGGGGAUGACGGCCUUGCGGUUGUAUACCUCUUUCACCAGGGACGAAGCGAAAGUGACGGUACCUGGAGAAGAAGCACCGGCCAACUACGUG